UGAUGUUUACCAGUUGCUGUAGUCAAGAGGUGACGUUGACGUGGAUGCAGUGUGGUCUUCUAUGUGGCAAAGGAUUCCAGAAGGAUGUGACCGCAUGUGUUCCCCUUGGACCACGCGGGUGCAGGGCGGCGUCGGACUCUGUCUUCUUGAUUACCUGCACCAGUUGCGCAUGCUCCGUGACCAGCUGCCGCAGAUCUGCCAUCUUUUGCAGGAGUUUUGGGAAGAGAAAGACGUCGUCGGGAUGGUUGCUCUGUGCUCGGUUUCAACAAUAUUUAAGGAGUGUGAUUGUGUUUGACUUCGGUUUUGUGGUAUAAAGCACCGUUACAGGUACCUUCCAACGUGUAAGUCAGCUGAAAAGAAGGUGGAGCCAGAAAUGAAUGGGAGGACGGAUACGGGAGGAUGC